CACGAGUGGCGGCGGGGGGAGCCGCCCCGCGGGGCCGCCUCUGCCCCUUCCCCGCCGCGCCGUUAAUGGAAACAUGGCGAUGGCGGCUCCGACCGGCAGCGCGGCGCCCGUCGCCCCGGCCCUCUGCGGCCACCUGGCCCUGCUGCUGCUCCUCGCCGCCCCCGCCGCCCACGGCUACAGCUUCCCCCAGCAGCACACUAUGCAGUACUGGGCCAGGAGGCUGGAGCAGGAGAUUGAUGGAGUGAUGAGGAUAUUUGGUGGAGUCCAGCAGCUCAGAAAGAUCUACGAUGACAAUAAAAGCCUGUUUGAAGUCAAGGAGAAUGUGCCCAGGAAAUUGGUGGAGAAGGUCGCAGGGGACAUUGAGAGCCUCUUGGCCAAGAAAGUCCGUGCUUUAAAGAGACUUGCCAACGCGGCGGAGAAAUUCCAGAAGGCUCACCACUGGCAGGACAACAUCCGGGAGGAAGACAUCGAGUACUAUGACUCCAAGGCCGACACUGAAUAUGACGACCCCGAUGGAGAAGAGAUUGAGAGGGAGAAGUCCAACUCCUUGAAGCUGGAGUUCACUGAUGAUGACAACUUCAAGACCAAGGUUAACUAUUCAUACGCUGCUGUGCAGAUCCCCACGGACAUCUACAAAGGCUCCACUGUCAUCCUGAACGAGCUGAACUGGACGCAGGCCCUGGAGGAUGUUUUCAUCGAGAACCGCAAGGAGGAUCCCUCCCUGCUCUGGCAGGUCUUCGGCAGCGCCACCGGCGUCACCCGCUACUACCCCGCCACCCCAUGGAGGGCCCCCAACAAGAUCGACCUCUAUGACGUGCGCCGGCGGCCCUGGUACAUCCAAGGUGCCUCCUCCCCAAAGGACAUGGUCAUCAUUGUGGAUGUGAGUGGCAGUGUGAGCGGCCUCACCCUCAAGCUGAUGAAGACCUCGGUCUAUGAGAUGCUGGACACCCUCUCAGAUGAUGACUAUGUCAAUGUGGCCUCGUUCAAUGAGAAGGCAAAGCCAGUGUCGUGCUUCAAGCACCUGGUGCAGGCCAACAUCCGCAACAAGAAGGUGUUCAAGGAGGACGUGCAGGGCAUGGUGGCCAAGGGCACAACAGACUACAAGGCUGGCUUUGAGUACGCCUUCGACCAGCUGCAGAACUCCAACAUCACACGUGCCAACUGCAACAAGAUGAUAAUGAUGUUCACGGACGGCGGCGAGGACCGAGUGCAGGACGUCUUUGAGAAAUACAACUGGCCCAAUAAGACGGUGCGGGUCUUCACCUUCUCCGUGGGGCAGCACAACUACGACGUGACCCCGCUGCAGUGGAUGGCCUGUGCCAACAAAGGUUACUACUUCGAAAUCCCCUCCAUCGGCGCCAUCCGCAUUAACACGCAGGAGUACCUGGAUGUGCUGGGCAGACCCAUGGUCCUGGCUGGGAACCGAGCCAAGCAGGUCCAGUGGACCAAUGUCUACCAGGAUGCCCUGGGGCUGGGCCUGGUGGUGACAGGAACGCUGCCAGUGUUCAACCUGACGGAGGACAGCAGUGACAGGAAGAACCAGCUCAUCCUGGGCGUGAUGGGGAUCGAUGUGGCUCUCAAUGACAUCAAGAGGCUGACGCCGCGUUACAACCUGGGGGCCAAUGGCUACGUCUUCGCCAUCGACCUGAACGGCUACGUCCUGCUGCACCCCAACCUGCAGCCCCAGAUCAUCAAUUUCCGUGAGCCAGUGACACUGGACUUCCUGGAUGCUGAGCUGGAGGAUGAAAACAAGGAGGAGAUCCGGAGAAGCAUGAUUGAUGGGAAUGAUGGGCAGAGGUUCAUCAAGACCCUCAUCAAGUCCCUGGACGAGCAAUACAUCGACGAGGUGUUCCGGACCUACACAUGGGCUCCCAUCAAAAGCACCAACUACAGCCUGGGGCUGGUUCUGCCUCCCUACAGUACCUACUACAUCCAGGCCAACCUCAGCGACCAGAUCCUGCAAGUGAAGUUACCAAACAUCAAAAUGAAGGGCAAGUAUUUUCAGUCUCAGACCACUCACCUUCACCACCCCGUCCCCUGCCCCGUGUCCAGUCCCCCCCAGCCCCCUGCUUGCCCAUCUCCCUGCCCGUUUGCCACGCCGAACCUGCAAACCGCCACCAACUCGCCCUUCCUCCCUUCUCCUACUCCUCUUCCUCCUCCUCUCCUCCAGUUCCCCCUUUAUUUGAAAGCAACAUGUCUUGUUCUGUUCAUGAGAGCUUUGUCACGAAAAUCCCACUCCCUCCCUGCGCAUCACUCCCAAACCUGGUUCGAUAUCGUUCAAGAGCCGAUCUUGUAUGAAACUGCCCUUUUGACCCACGAGGAUUUUGUAGCUAGUUGGAUGCCCUGCUCUUCCUCCCCAACGCUGCCCCUUCUUGCUCCUCUUCUCCCGCUCGUCUCCUCCAAUUCCUUCUCCCCUUCUCCUGGCUCCUUUGCUUCCUCCUCCCCAAGACAACUCAACCUGAAAGGGAUAGGGCUGUGCAGGGACAGGGGGCUGUGGGGUGGGUGCCCAAAGGUGGCAGGGAUGGAGGACAGGUGGGGGCCCAAUCCAUCAGCCUCCGGGACAGGCUUUCUGGGGAAAGCCUGCAAGCAGAAAUGCUCUGCAGAGAUGGGAUGGGACCAGCUGGGGCAGUGCCUCCCAGCUGCACAGGUGACGGUGAGCCUGGCCCCAGGGGCACGUGGGAUGGCUGAGCCCAGGGGUGCUACACUGCCUGCCCCCACAGCUGCUCGGUGGCCAUCCCCCCUGCUCUGGGGACCAGCAUGGCAUGGUACAGUGUCCUGUACCACUGAAGGUACAGUGUCCUGGUGCCGUCUGUGCCCCUGGGAGCAGCCAAGUUUGAGCCCAAAGUCCCACCGAGGCAGGCCGAGGUGCCACAGUCGGUCUCCCCCUGCAGUGGAGCAGGACACCACCCAUGGGACACAGGAUUUGGCCCAAUUCCCUCAAUGCCAGAGGGGCCUCCUGACCCACAGCUCCCACACAGCUCCACAGUGGGCCAGGGGACACCCAGCACACACGGUGCCCACGGGACCUGCCACCACUCUCCAUCCCACACAGCCCCCAGCACACGGCACCCAUCAGCAGCCUGGCAGCACCCCCUCCCUGGCACAGGCAGGGAAACAGCUUGGGGAGGGCACUGCAGCACAGGAGGUGCCAUGGGGGCCAGGGCCAGGCGAGCAGGACAGUGGGGAGGUGGAAGUGACACCCUCAGCCCUGUUCAAUCAGCCUUGAGUUGCCUCCUCCCAGCGCCCCUGUGAUGGCAAUGCUGAUGGACCAAGUACGAGUGUUUGUACUCCUCCUUCUCCUCCUCUUCUUCCUCUCAUCGGCUUGUACCCAGACCCUGCCUCCAGCCCUCAGAGAGCAACAGUCCAACCUCUGGCUGUGCCGUGCAAUGCACCAGGAGCUGGCGGGAGGGCAAAGGGGUGGCGGUGCCCCUCGUGGCGGAGAUGUUGUCCCAGGGGUGUCCCAUAGCACCCCUCCAUGCACCCCCUAACCCAGCUCGUCCCCGCGAGCUGAGCCCUGCAUCCUCUGUCUCUUCUGCCGGGGGCAAUCCCAGAGACACCCCAAAGCUACUGGGCUGCACCCCGUGUUAAAGCAGAGCGCGCUGGCGGGCGAGCGCGGAUCCCCGUCCCAUGGGGGUACCACCGCCCCGGGGAGGGAGGGGGCACCGGUGCCCGGCAGCGGAGCCCGUCAGUGGAGCCCGUCAGCGCAUUGCACGGCCCUGCAGCAGGGCGGGAGCCUCUGGUUGGACUGUCCUCGGCAAGGUUCCCCUCUGGCCAUGUUGAUGCCUGAAAACUCCCUUUAUUUUUUUUUUUCUCCCGACAACCGAGUGUUCUGGUGAUCCUCCUCCGGCCAGGAGCGCAGCAUGUGGUUCCCUGCCCUCGCCCACCACCCCUCCCCCGAGAGAGAGACGUCCCCCCGCCCUCCCGAACAUGCAUAUAUAUAUAUAUACAUGUGCGCACAUAUAUAUAUGUGUGUGUGUCUGUGUGUCCCUGCGUACCGGCCGCGCGUACGCACCGCGCGCCUUCAGCCCGCCACCGAGCAAAUUCGAGCCGAGAUGGGCAAACCUCUCCUGAUUUGGCUUAACCUUCCUUCCCGUGCGGUGCCAGCAACAGCAGAACGGCCUUUUCCUUCCUCUCUUGUUACCAAGAGCAGCAAAUGCCUUUUUCUUUUUUUCUAUUUUUUUUUUUGUUCCCUCCCCCCCCCCUCUCUCUCUCUCUCUCUCUGUCCGUCUCUCUCCCUCCUGGCCCCGGCGCCCCCGUCCCCGCUCCCCGCCGGAUAACCUUCCCUUUCUGUUGCAGAUUUUGAAUACCUGCUGCCCAACAGCUUUGAGUCGGAGGGACAUGUGUUCAUUGCUCCCAGGUAGCUUUGCGUGUGCGCUUGCCGAGGUGUGCAUCCGCCCCGGCCCUGCUGCCGACCCCACCAUCGCCCCCAUCCUCGCCUCAUCGUGCCUUGUCCCCGCUCCCCGUGCCCUGUGGCUGUGUGUGUCGUGUGCCCGCUCGGCCGCGGGGCUGCCGCCGGGACCCCGGCCCCGCCGCGCCACCCGGUUGCAUCCAGCACAGUAUAUAUCUAUACAUAUAUAUAUGCACCCGGUGCAGCCCGACCUCUGCGCGUGCAUAUAUAGGUAUAGUUUCUGAAAAUCCUGCCGAGCGAGGGGCCGCCGGCCGCAUCAUACAGUCGUGCUGGCUGCGGGGUGGGGGGGAGAAGGAGGGGGAGGUUUCGGCCCAAAUUUGGGAUGCCCAGGGGGUUUGGGGACAUGAGGAGAGCGUAGCGGCCCCCUGACGGAGAGAUGUGUCCCCUCCCCUGGGCCAUGCCGCCCAGUCUUGUCACCUAGCAGGGAUGAAGGGCCAUCCUUCAAUGGGCUGUUUGGGGAGCCCCAUGGCUCCGCCAGCACCCCGCCCUUCUCGCCACUACAGUGCAAUCUCUGACCAGCCCUAAUUAACAUCAUCAGCUAAUCACUAUCUGCUCAUAGGUCGUUAUAGCAGCUAAAAGUCCUGUUAGGGGACGUUUUGCAGUGCAGCUUUUGGGGAUUGCAGUGGGUUGAGGUCCAGCCCAGCCACCUGCGGGUACACCCCACCCUCCCGGCCCACAGCAGCAGUCACUCAUACCAGCUCUGGGUGAAGCAGCCCGGAAUGUGCAGUCACUGGGCAGCGCUGCCGUUCUGGGGAGCUGAGUCCCCAGGCCCUCUGCUGGGCACUGGGAGUGAAGUCCAGGACACACGGGAUCCAAAGCAAAGUGUGAAUGAGAAACAGGAACACAGUUAUUGAAAAGUGGCUGUAAGCACACCGAGGGGAUGGAUAGGGAGGGGAUGCCCAAGGCCCCAGGAGCGGGGCUGCGCCCACGGUGCUGCUCCGGCUGCAGUGCCGGCCUCCGUGUCCGGUGUGGGGCUCUGCAGACGCUGGAGAGAGCAGCGGGUGUGGAAGUCAGGGCGAGCCCUUCGGUAUCCCCAGAGCGACUCCUUGAGCGCCCUCGGUGCGGUGGGCGCUGCCCGGCGUGGGCAGGGGCAGGGAGGGGCUGUGGGUGCCCAGGGCGACUGUAUGAUCGGCUGCCGGCGCUGCCGCGCCCAUGGGCCUCUGGAAAUUUUCAGAAACCGUAUAUCCCUGUCCCCCGUGGGUGUGUGAGUACCUGUAUCUGUGCGUGUCGGUGGAGGUAUUUAGGUGGCUGUUCCUCCCCGAACAGGGGUUGAGGGGCCGGGCCGAGCUGGGCAGGGUGCCUCACCUUUUUCAGCUGCCCUGUGGGCAUGCUCCCUGCCAGCCUUUGCUCCCUUUGUCCUCUGAAUUACAGUUUUGGCAGUCAGGAGCUUGGCGGAGGGGUUGUGAGUGGGGGAGCCCUGAGCACCCUGGCACUGUUAACAGCCACACUGCUGAGGUGGGAGGCUCUUGGCACACUGGGGUGGCACUAACCUGUGCCACCCAGUCAGAGUCUUGUGGUGACCAACAGGUUACAGCUGUCCCUGGCAUCUGUGGGGCUGAGAAUCUGUGCUCAGGGUGUCCCAAACUGAAGCAGGGACAUGGCACCCACCAUACUGCCUGUACCAGGAGUGUCUCAGGGCCAGUGAUGCCCGUGUAGCAAGCACCCUUCUUCACCAGCUGGGGCUCAGCCAGCGCCCAACCACCUGUGCAAAGGGCACGGGUAUGGCCUUGUGUGUCUGUCUGGUGCUGCCAGUGCAGCUGUGGAGAAUCCUGAGGCAAAUCCCUGCUGCCACCCACAGUGGAGCCCAAUCCCUGGGGUGCCACAGGGGCAGGGCAGGGUGGGCAUAGCCCCACAGGUAAGUACGGUGUCAGAGGCACCCAGUCCCACCAGUAGCCCCAGCAGUACGGGGAGAGAUGGACUCAUGGUUGUCCCAUUCUGGGCAAACCAGGAUCCAUCAAAGCUUGCCCUGGCAGAGGUGGCAGCACCUCAGUGCCAGUGACAGACCCAGUGACUGGUGGGACACUUCUCUGGUGGCACUGCAGGCAGCAGGGGCUGGGUACCGAGCAGUCUGCAGAGAUGCCCACAGCCAGUUCCCCUGACGGGGUGACACUCCCAGGAGAGGUGGCAUGUCACCACCUUUGUGUCCCUGUCAAGCCUGGGUGCUGGCAGCACAGCCAGCGCCGGCCGUGCCGUCCCCGGGGCAGAACUGACCUUACCUUUUCCAUCCCCACGAACCACAAACCUUGUCCCCCAAACCCCAGAGAGUAUUGCAAAGACCUCGACCUGUCGGAUAACAACACCGAAUUCCUGGAAAACUUUAUUGCCCUCAUGGAAAAGGUGACCCCAGACUCCAAGCAGUGUGACAACUUCCUCCUGCACAACCUAAUCCUGGACACGGGUAUCACACAGC